GUGGGGGAUAUUGCACAAUGGGGGAAACCCUGAUGCAGCGACGCCGCGUGAAGGAAGACGUACUUCGGUAUGUAAACUUCUAUCAGCAGGGAAGAAGAUGACGGUACCUGACUAAGAAGCCCCGGCUAACUACGUGCCAGCAGCCGCGGUAAUACGUAGGGGGCAAGCGUUAUCCGGAUUUACUGGGUGUAAAGGGAGCGUAGACGGUGAAGCAAGUCUGAUGUGAAAACCCGGGGCUCAACUCCGGGAUUGCAUUGGAAACUGUUUUACUUGAGUGCUGGAGGGGCAAACGGAAUUCCUGGUGUAGCGGUGAAAUGCGUAGAUAUCAGGAAGAACACCGGUGGCGAAGGCGGCCCCCUGGACAAAGACUGACGCUCAGGUGCGAAAGCGUGGGGAGCAAACAGGAUUAGAAACCCGAGUAGUCC
rnacentral:rRNA from 1 species